rnacentral:misc_RNA from 1 species
AACGCACCUUGCACUCCUUGGUAUUCCGAGGAGUAUGCCUGUUUGAGUGUCAUUAAAUUCUCAAACUUCUCCUUGUUUGAUUUUCUCAACUUUGGAGGUAGUUUGGAUUUGAGAGUUGCUGGUUUUUAUAUGAAUCAGCUCUCUUUAAAUGCAUUAGUAGUCUGUCUGGCUUUGUCCCACAUUCUCAAUUGAUGUGAUAGUUUAUCUACAUCAUUAGAGAAUGAAUCUGCUUAUAACUUUGUUGGUCUUUUUGACUUUAACACUCUUGACAAUUUGACCUCAAAUCAGGUAGGACUACCCGCUGAACUUAA